CAUCCGGGGCACAUUUUGCACACUUCCUCAGAGCACGCUUGCAGCAGUCCGACCAGUUAGACUGGAAAUAUUUGUAUUUAACAUGUUUAAAAAUGUAUUUGCAUGCGUAUUUUCCAGUCGUUAUUAUACAUGAUGUAAGAUUGAAAAAAUAUUUCUCCUAAUAUGAUAAAGUAUAAUGGCGCAUGCUGGAGCCGUGGGAGUAGGCCGCAUCGGCGUGGAAACAUGGGAGGGCAGAUAAUAAAUGGAUGCGUGCAGUGUGUUUGAGGUGAUUGCACACACACGUGGACAGAAGGGUGGUGGCAAAGACACUGGUCUUGGUGUUGAUGGAUCCCUGCGAGAGCAAUACACAAUCGACCUGCGGUGCUCAAGAAAUGGACAAGCUACGGUAAAUUAUAAGGUGACGCCAGGACUUGUGAAUUAACAUUUGUUUUCCCUAUACGUGCAUAUUCCAACCAGAAGACUUAAAAAUGUAUUGUUAAACAGUGAGUGUAAUGUCCUGUGUGAAUAAAGCCUUUUUUCAAGAAGCACAGUGUUGUUUUGUUCAUUUCAUUUUGCUGUGUAGGUUUGAUUUUUAGGCACUGUACUUGCAACCUGAACGGCCUUUUCCAUGGCCACUCACACAGGUCAAGAGAGGUGCGAGAUCAUAUCAUGUCUUGUUAUAACUGGGGUUUCUUGGCCAUUUUCCCAAGUCUCUCUUUUAAAGCAAGACACAGAAUCUGAAUGCAUGUCAGAGCAAUAACUGCACAGACAAGAGGAGCAUUUUGAAUAAGCAUGCAGUGCUGUUGAGAGUAAGUCCCUGUUGACUGACACUGUAUUCUAACUACAUGUGAAUAUUGAAAGAAUCAGUAUAGUCUGUCAGUAUAGUCUGUCUGUGAAAAUCUAUUCUAUAUUGAUUUAUUGGCCAAUAUUUAACAUAAGGGAAGCUGAAAAUGUUAGUCCAAUCCACAAGUCUGCUGCCAGAAUAUUACUCUGCAACUAUAUGGAUAAUCUGUCUUAUUUUUCCUGGCAAAAAUCCCAAACUGACAGGUAAGAGCAUUGUUAAUGUUAGAAUUUGCUGGUUUUGUUUACUUGAUUCACGCUUGUCACUUGUACUGCCAUAUUUUGACAUUUUUACUUUGUGUAUAAGUGAAGAAAUGAAAGGAGGAUGAAGUACAAUAGUAAUAAAGGAUUAAAAUUU